UAGGAAAAAAUUUCAGCAGAAAGUCAACUGAUUUCGCGAACGAGUAGCAACAGAACUAGAAAGAAAGACUGAAGCUGAAACGACUACGGGCCCGCUACUACGGGAGCGGAGAGCGAGAGAGCGGGCCAGAUAACAAGCCAGCGAGUGGUCGACGGUAGUGAUGUCAUGACUUGUUGGACAUGUUCAGGACAAGAAUACGGACAAGUCCCAACAUGAUAGCGACAUGCAGCAUGCAGCUCAGACAUGUGGGCAUACAUAUGUACAUAUGUAUGUAUGUAUGUACAUAACGUAAGUUAGGAAACAUAUCAUAUGCACUGCCGAAUAGUAUGUGGUAUUCCGGCAAAUGUUCCUAACUAUUUAAUUAUUGACUCGAAGACGCAUGGAAAUCACAAAAUCAGACUGGGAACCUCUAAAGAUAUCGCCUUUCUGGCAUAUUGAACUUUUCUUUCAUAAGAUGAAUUUCGUAAUAUAAGGAAAUGGCUGGAAACAUCGAUAUGGGCAACCGUAUUUAAUAUGUUGAAGCAGAGUAAAAUCGAAACAAACUCUACUCGAAAAAAUCUUUUCAUGGAAUCGACAUGAAUAUUUGAAUUUUUCAAUAAAUGCGUGGCUAUUUGGGGAUA
rnacentral:sRNA from 1 species